rnacentral:lncRNA from 1 species
UUUCAUCUUAUGGCCUGCCUGGUGUGCUCCACAGGCUCCACUAUUUAUACUAGAUAAUGCUAAGUACGCCUCGUUUUCUCCUAAACAUUUCAACAGGAUCCCUUCAGGGGUUUUCUUGAAUAAUUCAUUCCCCAUCAAAACAUAAGAUAAAGCCCUGCACUUGGUUUUUCUUUCUGUAUCUAUUGAAGGGUCCUUGAGAUAAUUAAUAAUUGGAUUCCUCCAAUUUGUAUCCAUUAAGGUAUCAAUGG